AUUCCAAUCGAACUCGGAGAUAGCUGGUUCUCCCCGAAAUAGCUUUAGGGCUAGCCUCGUUUUAAAUUACCGGGGGUAGAGCACUGAAUGGGCUAGGGGGCCACAAAGCUUACCGAACCCUAUCAAACUUCGAAUACCGGAUAAUUGAUGAACGGGAGUCAGACGGCGGGAGAUAAGUUUCGUCGUCAAAAGGGAAACAGCCCAGAUCUACGACUAAGGUCCCGAAAUCACAGUUAAGUGGAAAAGGAUGUGCAGUUGCACAGACAACCAGGAUGUUGGCUUAGAAGCAGCCACUCAUUUAAAGAGUGCGUAAUAGCUCACUGGUCGAGUGAUUGUGCGCCGAAAAUGUACCGGGGCUAAACUGUGUACCGAAGUCUAGGGAUCGUGAUAAACGAUCGGUAGGGGAGCAACGUGUGCGGGCUGAAGCCGAAGCGGAAGCGACGGUGGACUGCACGGGAGAGAGAAUGCCGGCAUGAGUAGCGAGAGCAAAGUGAGAAUCUUUGCCGUCGAAAGCCUAAGGUUUCCUGAGGAAGGCUCGUCCUCUCAGGGUAAGUCAGGACCUAAGCCGAGGACAAAAGUCGUAGGCGAUGGACAACUGGUUGAUAUUCCAGUACCACCUUUAGCGUUUGACUGAAGCAGUGACACAGAAGGAUAGACAGAGCGCGUGACUGGUAGAGCGCGUCCAAGCGAUGAGGGAGUUAAGUAGUGAAGAACGCUUAACAAUCCUGGGUCGUGAUGGGGACUGAAAAUAAGUAGGGAAGCUGUUGAAUUCACGCUGGCGAGAAAAGCUGCUAAGGAGCGAAAGGGUGCCUGUACCGCAAACCGACACAGGUAGGCGAGGAGAGAAUCCUAAGACGAGCGGGAGAACCCAUGUUAAGGAACUCGGCAAAAUGACCCUGUAACUUCGGGAUAAAGGGAGCCACGAGAGUGGCCGCAGAGAAUAGGCCCAAGCGACUGUUUACCAAAAACACAGGUCUGUGCGAAGUAGAGAUACGACGUAUACGGGCUGACGCCUGCCCAGUGCCGGAAGGUUAAGGGGAAGUGUUAGGGCAACCGAAGCACGGAACUUAAGCCCCGGUGAACGGCGGCCGUAACUAUAACGGUCCUAAGGUAGCGAAAUUCCUUGUCGGGUAAGUUCCGACCCGCACGAAUGGCGUAACGACUUGGGCACUGUCUCAACAUGGGACCCGGCGAAAUUGUAGUAUGUGUGAAGAUGCACAUUACCCGCGAUAGGACGGAAAGACCCCGUAGAGCUUUACUGUAGUUUAACAUUGGAUUUCGGUAACAUAUGUACAGGAUAGGUGGGAGGCGAAGAACCAGGGACGCCAGUUUCUGGGGAGCCGACCUUGGGAUACCACUCUUGUGUUAUUGGAGUUCUAACGAAUUGCCGUGAACCGGGAUUCGGACAGUGUUAGAUGGGCAGUUUGACUGGGGCGGUCGCCUCCUAAAGAGUAACGGAGGCGUCCAAAGGUUCCCUCAGAAUGGUUGGAAACCAUUCGCAGAGUGUAAAGGCAGAAGGGAGCUUGACUGCGAGACCGACAGGUCGAGCAGGUGCGAAAGCAGGGCUUAGUGAUCCGGCGGUAUGAGAGUGGAAUUGCCGUCGCUCAACGGAUAAAAGCUACCUCGGGGAUAACAGGCUGAUCUCCCCCAAGAGU
rnacentral:rRNA from 1 species